GCAAGUAGCGAUGAAAAGGCUGACGCUGCCCAGCAGGAAUACGGCAGCAUGUGGUUGUGAGUCCAAACUGCCUACUGGUUGGAAGGAAAUGGGGGCGGGGAAUCCUAAUCCUAACGGGAAAAGGCAGACGCGCCCUCUCCUGGCAUCUCGGAAGAAUUCUGUUUCACUUUCUAGACCGCCAGCUCGUCAGGCUCCGCCUGCCGGAUCUUUGACAUCAAUCACCCUUGAGUUAACCUCCAGAACUGGGCAGAGGGGUAGCGUGUCAGUACCCGCCGCCACUCGCAAUUCCCGAGUGUCCCUCCUGCCUCUGUUAGGGGUGCCUGGGGUGAGUCACACUCCCUUUGGGUUUCUUUCUACUAUUUUAAACCAUAUUAAGCUCCUACAGAGCCCACAAGGGGGUGUAGCCAUGGGUGCUCCGCUAUGUGACUGGCUCCCUGCUCCUCUUCUCCACUGGUGCCAGACCAUACUUGCUCCAACAUGGCCAUCUAAGGAGGAAGAAAGAUGCCCCACAGGCUCACUCUCCAGCCUUCUUUUCCAGCAGGGGACCCAGAAGGACAGCUGGGAAAGCAGCAAGAUGACCAUCUACGUGUUGUCCUUUAGGAAUGACUUUCAAGUUCAUGGCCGCGGUGGCUGCUACCCAAAGUCAACAGCACAGAAACCUUCCUGUUAUAUCAGAACCUCUGUCUAAAAAUGGAUUGACUCAAUAGGAAAGCUACAGCAAAAGGAACCCAUCCACCAUGCUAUGAGAAAACAUGAGCAAUCAUGAGAGAAGCCCACGUGGAGGAGAACUGAGGCCCUCUAGCCAACUCCAAGUGAGCUUCUAGUCAGUAGCCAGUACUGAUUUCUAGCCACGGAGGAAAGGUGGAAAGGCCGCGUGAAGACACAGAGGGGAGGCAGCCAUCUACAAGCCUGGAAGAGAGACUACACCAGAAACUGACCCUGAUGACGUCUUGACCUUGGGCUUUUGGCUUCUAGAACAGUAACAAAAGAACUGUCUGUGCUUUGAGCCACCUGUCGGUGGAUUUCGCUAUGGUAGCCCUAGCAGACGGAGACGACGACAUUAUGAAAUUUCCUAUAUUACAUAUUCAGCGAGAGACAAGCGAGCAGUGCUGAUA